rnacentral:rRNA from 1 species
UGCCAGCCGCCGCGGUAACACGGAGGGGGUUAGCGUUGUUCGGGAUUACUGGGCGUAAAGCGCACGUAGGCGGAUCAGAGAGUAUAGGGUGAAAUCCCAGGGCUCAACCCUGGAACUGCCUUAUAAACUCCUGGUCUUGAGUUCGAGAGAGGUGAGUGGAAUUCCGAGUGUAGAGGUGAGAUACGUAGAUAUUCGGAGGAACACCAGUGGCGAAGGCGGCUCACUGGCUCGAUACUGACGCUGAGGUGCGAAAGUGUGGGGAGCAAACAGGAUUAGAUA